rnacentral:rRNA from 1 species
UACGUAGGGUGCAAGCGUUGUCCGGAAUUAUUGGGCGUAAAGAGCUUGUAGGCGGUUUGUCGCGUCUGCUGUGAAAUUUCGGGGCUCAACCCCGAACUUGCAGUGGGUACGGGCAGACUAGAGUGUGGUAGGGGAGACUGGAAUUCCUGGUGUAGCGGUGAAAUGCGCAGAUAUCAGGAGGAACACCGGUGGCGAAGGCGGGUCUCUGGGCCGAUACUGACGCUGAGGAGCGAAAGCGUGGGGAGCGAACAGU